rnacentral:rRNA from 1 species
AUUGAACGCUGGCGGCAGGCUUAACACAUGCAAGUCGAACGAGUGGCGGACGGGUGAGUACUCCUUGGGAAACUGGCUUAUGGAGGGGGAUAACUACGGGAAACGGUAGCUAAUACCGCGUACCAUAGGAUGAGCCCAAGUGGGAUUAGGUAGUUGGUGUGGUAAAGGCUCACCAAGCCGACGAUCUCUAGCUGGUCUGAGAGGAUGACCAGCCACACUGGGACUGGGAGACGGCGCAGACUCCUACGGGAGUCAGAAGUGGGGAAUAUUGCGCAAUGGGGGCAACCUGACGCAGCCAUGCCGCGUGAAUGAAGACGGCCUUCGGGUUGGAAAGUUCUUUCGGUAGCGAGGCGUUAACCACAGAAGAAGCACCGGCUAACUCCGUGCCAGCCGCGGCGGUAAUUC